rnacentral:rRNA from 1 species
UACGGGGGGGGUAAGCGUUGUUCGGAAUUACUGGGCGUAAAGGGCGUCGUAGGCGGCCAACUAAGUCAGACGUGAAAUCCCCUCAGCUUAACUGGGGAACUGCGUCUGAUACUGGAGUGGCUGGAUUCGGGAGAGGAAUGCGGAAUUCCAGGUGUAGCGGUGAAAUGCGUAGAUAUCAGGAGGAACACCGGUGGCGAAGGCGGAUCUCUGGGCCUACCUGACGCUGAGGCGCGAAAGCUAGGGGAGCAAACAGG